AUACUGCCGAAGAGUCCCAAACUAGGACGAAACAGCUGUCCAGUAC
rnacentral:hammerhead_ribozyme from 1 species